rnacentral:rRNA from 1 species
AUGAAUCUCCUUGCCUGGAACUUUCGAGGACUAGGGUUGGACUCUACAGUAGGCGAACUCCAUGACCUAAUACGGUCCCACAACCCAGCGGUGGUUUUCUUGAGCGAAACAAAGAAUAAGGCUCGGGCUAUGGAGAAACUAAAAUGGAGUCUUGGUUUUAGAGAGGGAGCGGAUGUGGAUUGUAAGGGGAGAAGUGGUGGCACGGCCCUAUGGUGGACGGAUAAUGUGCACAUGACGGUUCGGCCGUGGUGCCAAUAUUUCAUUGAUGCAGCGGUGGAGUUAGGAGGCCGUUCCUAUAGGAUCACUAGAUUCUAUGGGGAGCCUUGA